UACGUAGGCAGCGAGCGUUGUUCGGAGUUACUGGGCGUAAAGAGCUCGUAGGUGGUUUGUCGCGUUGUUCGUGAAAACUCACAGCUCAACUGUGGGCGUGCGGGCGAUACGGGCAGACUGGAGUACUGCAGGGGAGACUGGAAUUCCUGGUGUAGCGGUGGAAUGCGCAGAUAUCAGGAGGAACACCGGUGGCGAAGGCGGGUCUCUGGGCCGAUACUGACGCUGAGGAGCGAAAGCGUGGGGAGCGAACAGG
rnacentral:rRNA from 1 species